GAUGAACGCUGGCGGCGUGCCUAACACAUGCAAGUCGAGCGAAGCGAUUUUGAGGAAGUUUUCGGAUGGAAUCGAAAUUGACUUAGCGGCGGACGGGUGAGUAACACGUGGGUAAUCUGCCUUAUACAGGGGGAUAACAGUUAGAAAUGACUGCUAAUACCGCAUAAGCGCACGGGGACGCAUGUUUCUGUGUGAAAAACUCCGGUAGUAUAAGAUGAGCCCGCGUCUGAUUAGCUGGUUGGUGGGGUAACGGCCUACCAAGGCGACGAUCAGUAGCCGGCCUGAGAGGGUGAACGGCCACAUUGGGACUGAGACACGGCCCAA
rnacentral:rRNA from 1 species